GGUUGUUAAUUUUAAUGUCAAUUAGUGAUGAAAAUUUGAUUAUGUUGACAGUGUAUUUCUUGGAAUCACAUUAACAUUUCAUUUUGGAUGAAAACAUGGAUAUGCUUUGGAUUCAAAAGUUGCAAUAAUAGGAUUCAAUAAUUUCAUGAUUGGAAUAAAAUGAAAUUGUUAAUCAUGACUUGCUAUUUAUAGUCUUCUCAACAUGUUUAGUUGUGCAACUGAAACACACUCACCUUUAAUGGAUUCAUUGGUUUUCAAGGUAAAUCACGUUCGCUUUUUAAGCGUCCUCUUUAUCUUCACCCAAUUCUCGGUUAAGCCUGUUGUUCAUUAUCACUACAACCUGGUCUGAUUGAACUCUCAAGAUCACAUGUCUCGAGUCUUGUCUACAAACCUCUUUUGGAUUAAAGCUUUUUUACCUUCUCUUUGGCUUUCUUUUGUGUCAUCAAAGUGAAAGAUUAACCUACAGACGAUGAUGAUAAAUGGCUUGAUGAGAGUUGAUGUGAGGUGAAAAAAAAGUGAAAAUGAUGUUAUUAUAUCUAUUAAAACGAACAAGGGAAUCAUUUUUUGUUCCUCUUUUACACCAAAUCAGUGGAUCAACUUCAUCAUGGGUUAAAUUUUUUCCCUCUUCAGCCAUCAUUCCAAGGUUUGAACCAUUUGUUCCAACAAAAGAUAAAAUUAUCUUUUUCUACGAAAUCGCCUUUUUUGUUCCUUCAACAUUUGAAGCUCCGAAUCAUCACAUUUACUCAAUGUACAAUUUCAGUUAUAAAAAAAUCCAUCGAUAAUUUUCGUGAUAAACUACAGCAAUUAGUUGAGCUUGUAUGGGAUCCUGAACUUGAUUUUUGCUUGAUUAUUUAUUCCGAAAUUGAGUCCAUAAGAAAUGUUGAAAUUGGUCGAGAUAUUCAUGGACUUGCUUUAUGAUUGUGAUUAACCUUUUACUUGACUUGAUUUAAAAUGCAAUUGGAUUAACUGUGAAAAGGCAGGAAAAUUAGUAAGGAAUUGGUGAGGCCGGAUAUACAUGCCUUGAAUUUGACAAUCAAUUGAAAUGGAUGGAAGUACCUUUAUUGAUAACAGUCAACAUCAAUACAUCUUAUUCCUGAUUCACACCUUUUAUAAUCUUCUUCAAUUCUUGCUUCAGUUCAAUGUUCACAUUGGUAUUUAAAGGGAAAGGUCCUGAGUAAAGAUGAAAUCUUUUUUUCUCUUCUCAUCAUGUCCUCUUUUUACGUCUCUCUCAUCUUUGCCUUUCUCAAUCUCAAGAGACAAAACCAAAAGCCAAAUCUAUUGACAUGAUAUACUUUAAGGAACUUUCAGUUUCUAUUUCUUCUUCAAUUUAACAAGAGGAAGAAGAUUCCUUUAAAAACAAGGAAAAAAAGAUCGAAAAUGAAAGUUUUUUUUCCCUUCUUCCACCAAUGAAAGUAACAAAAAAAAGAUGAUGAUGAGUGAACUGUUAGAGGAUGAUUGAGAGAAGGAGUGAGCAAGAUUCAAGUAUCAGCAAAUAAAUUCAGAACAGCAAUUUUCACUUUAACCAUUAUGCGUUCAAGAUUGAAUAAAGGGAAGAAGAAGCUCACUGAUGAAGAUGGAAGGGAAAAUAAGAUGAGAAUGAUGAACUUGAUGAUGGAAACAAUGACAAUAAAAGAAUGAUGAAAAUCUUUCUCUUGAUACAUUUCUUUUUUUUAUCACCUUCCUCUGUAUUUUUCGUCUUAUUGUCUUCUUUUUGCUCUCCAUUUCUCAUUUAGAUUAGUAAACAAGCUUAAAUGAUUUUUGGUUUUCUCCUUUUGCCUUCUUUCUUCUCAAAACGUAAGUUGAUUGAGUUUAUAUGUUUCCUUCAUCAUCUAUAUUUGUUGUUAAUUUAU